ensembl:lncRNA
GGGAACUUCCCGAUGCUGCGGGUGCGGCCCUAAAGAGCAAAAAAAAAAAUUGUAGAUAAAUAAAAUUAGUGGCGUUGAGUAUCUUUUCAUGUGCCUUUUGGCCGUCUGUAUGUCUUCUUUGGGAAAAUGUCUAUUCAGGUCUUUUGCCUAUUUUUUUGACAUUGUUUUUUUUUUUUUAAUAUUUUUUUUUAUUUUCCCACUGUACAGCAAGGGGGUCAGGUUAUCCUUACAUGUAUACAUUACAAUUACAUUUUUUCCCCCUUGACAUUGUUUUUUUUGAUAUUGUUAAAUGAGCUAUUUUUUUGUGUGUGUAUGUGUGUGUUUUGUUUUUGUUUUUUGUUUUUUAGCUGCACCUGCAGCAUGCAGAAAUUCCUGAGCCAGGGAUCAAACCCAUGCCACAGCAGUGACCUGAGCUGCUGCAGUGACGACACUGGAUCCUUCACCUGUUUUGCCACAGGGGAACUCCUGUAUAUUUUGGAUAUUAACCCCCUUGUUUGGAGUUCCCGCUGUGGUACAGUGGGUUAAGAACCCAACUGCAGUGGCUCAGGUCACUGCAGAGGCCUGGGUUCUACCCCUGGCCUGGGAACUUCUAUAUGCCAUGGGUGUGGCCUUUAAAAAACAAAACCCUUGUCUGUUGCUUUUUUUUUUUUUUUUUUUUUUUUUUNNNNNNNNNNNNNNNNNNNNNNNNNNNNNNNUGAGCAAGGUCAGGGAUCAAACCCGCAACCUCAUGGUUCCUAGUCGGAUUCGUUAACCACUGCGCCACAAUGGGAACUCCUAUCUGUUGCAUUAUUUGUAAGUAUCUUCUCCCAUUCCAUAAAUUGUCCUUUUGUUUUGUCAAUGGUUCCCUUUGCUGUGCAAAAUUAAAUGAUUUUUAAUAAUCAUUUAAGACUAUGUCUCUUCGAUAUGUAUAAAAUAAACACACCUUAAUGUUUGUGUUAUGAAAGCAAUAGUGUAAUAUUGUUGUGAAAUAAUAUAUAUCAUAUUGCCCAUGUGUUUUUUUCCUUGGCUGUGCCUGUGGCAUGUGGAAGUUCCUGGGCAGGGUUUGAACCUGCCCAUGGGUGACCUGAGCCACAGCAGUGACAAUGCCGGAUCCUUAACCUGCUGAACCACCAGGGAACUCCCUUGACCAUGCAUUUUAUUUUAUUUUGUUGUAUUUUAUUUUUUGCCUAGUACUAUUUUAUUAUAAGAAUAUAUCAUAUUAUUUGACCAUGCAUUUUAAAACUACACUGCUCCACUUAAGGAGAAUCAUUGUUCUUUUUGUGAGUAAGCCUGGAGAGUUUUAAGCCAGAGAGUGCUGUGAAUGUACUUGCAAUUUGGAAAGAUUUGGUUGUGAUGAGGAGAGCUUGUGAGAACGAAUUCACAGAAGGUGGAGAAGACCGCUGGUUCAUUCCGAAACCGUAAACGAGCAUCUGCUGUGUGCCAGACAUCUUGUGGGCCCUGAGUGGACGAGACAUCCCACCCGCGUGGAGUUCAGUUCUUCUUGCAAGGGGUGCCAUGAAGGUAGCAGGUCAGGAGGGCAGUGAGGAUGCAUUUGAAAGCUCUUCAGCUGUGACGGGAGACAGACUUAAAUGACAGAUUUAAAGUGGGCACAAGGAGGUGACCGCUGCUAGGUUUCUGACUCAGGUGACUUGGUGGUUGGUGGUUCUUGCAUUGAAAAGGGAUGUAGCAGUUUUGAGAUGGAUUGAGACACCCGCACACAGUAAUUCAGGCAGCGUUUAUUGAGACUAAUCAUGACUCUUCUCCCAUCUCGCCUCUAAGUUGGGGCCACCUCGUCUGUCCUCCUGUUGAACCUGGUUCCUUGUCCAUGUUACAGCCCUUCUCUUGUCUUUAGGUGAGGGUUAGCUUUUCCACUGCCCAUUGAGGAUGGAGACUGCCCAUCUCCUUUUCGUACCCCUGCUUGGAGAAUGUAGAUGCUGCUUAUUGCCUCCAUGGCUGCUGUCCUCCUGUAAGCCAUCGUCCUCUGUCUCUUGGAUCACUGAGGUUGCCUGCUGGUGGUCUUCUGCUGCCGUAUAUUCAAACAUAAGUUGAUAGUUUCUCUGCCCAGAGCCUCACAGUGGCCCACAUCCCACUUAGCGUGAAAGUGAAAGACUUCACAGUGGCUUAUAAGACCUGGUUAGGCUGGUUCUUGUAUUCCUUCUAUGCCUCUUAUCCAGCCUUUGCUUCUUUCAAAUCUUUGUGCAUUUUUUACCUCCUUCCUUCCUUCCUUCCUUCCUUCUUUCUUUCUUUCUUUCUUGUCUUUUUGCUAUUUCUCAGGCCGCUCCCGUGGCAUAUGGAGGUUCCCAGGCUAGGGGUCGAAUCGGAGCUGUAGCCACUGGCCUACGCCAGAGCCACAGCAACUCGGGAUCCGAGCCGCAUCUGCAACCUACACCACAGCUCACGGCAACGCCGGAUCGUUAACCCCCUGAGCAAGGGCAGGGAUCGAACCCGCAACCUCAUGGUUCCUAGUCGGAUUCGUUAACCACUGCGCCACGACGGGAACUCCUAAAUGUUACCUUCUUAGUGAGGCCUGUCUUCAGUUACCUAGCUAUGUAUCUGGAAGUCGAUUAUCUCUAAAAUACAGACAGUCUAGCCACAUACUGUUGUAUUCCAACGAUAUGAUAUUUAGGAGAAAGCAAAACUGUGCAGACAGUAAAAACGUUCACUGGUUUCCCGGAGUUAGAGUAGGAGGGGAAUGACCGACAGAGAUGUUUAGGGCAGGGAAAAUACCCCGUAUAGUGCCAGAGUAACGGGUACAUGUCGUCGUACCUUUGUCCACGCUCAGAACGCACGGCACCAAAGUGAAUCCUGGUGUACUGUGAACUGUGCGGAUUGCGACGUGUCAGAAUAGGGUCCUCAGUUGUAACAAAUGUCCCACCCCGGUGAGGGGCGUUGAUAAUGGGAGAAGCUGUUCGUGGGUGGGAACAGAGUGUGUGGGAAGUCUCUGUAGCUUCCUCUCAGUUUUGCUGUAAACCCAAAACUGCUCUUAAAAGUUGUCUUUAAAAUAUAAACAACAACAAAAUGAACCACAUAUAUCAUAAUUAAAAUUGAUAACUGUUCCUUAGUAUAAUUAAAUCUCUAGUCACCUCUUUUUAUUUAUUUAUUUUGUCUUUUUGUCUUUUUAGGGCCAUACCCGCAGCAUGUAGAGGUUCCCAGGCUCUAGGGGUCUAAUCGGAGCUGCCGGCAGCUGCAAGCUCUGAUUGACUCCUAGCCUGGGAACUUAUAUAUGCCACAAGGUGCGGACCUAAAAGCAAAAAAAUAAAAAAAGCUUUAUUGUGGUAUAAUUGACAUUCAGUAAACUGUUAUAUUUAAAGUGUACGGUUUGAUUAGUGUCGACACAUGUAUCCACCAGUGAGAUUAUCGCCACAGUCGAGAUGCUGGAUAUAUCAUUACCUCCCAUUUCCUCUGGCCUCUUCGUGAUUCCUCUCACCUGCCCCUCCUCCCCCAAGCAACCACUCAUCUGCUUUCUGUCGCUGGAGAUUAGUUUGUAUUUUCUAAAGUUUUCUGUAAAUGGGAUCUCAAAUUAUGUACUAUUUCUUAAACAUUUAUUUAUUUUAUGGCUGCACCCAUGGCGUGUGGAAGUUUCCAGGCUGGGGAUUGAAUCUGAGCCGUGGCUGUGAUCUACAUCACAGCUUAGCAGUUGGGGAUGCUUAACCCACUGUGCUUGGCCCAGGAUUGAACCUGAGCCCCUCCAGCCACUCAGGCUGCUGCAUUUGGAUUUUUAAUUCCCUGCGCUACAGCGGGAGCUCCAGUUAUGUACUGUUUUGUCUGGCUUCUUUCAACACAGUUAUCUUGAGACUCAUCCACAGUUGCAUGUAUCAGUUGAUUCGUCUUUUUUAUUGCUGAAUGGUAGUACCUUGUGUGGCUACACCACAGCUUUUUUAUUCAUUUACCUCUUGGUGGACAUUUGAGUUAUUUCCAUUGUUCGGCUUUGACAAAUAAAGCUGCCAUGAAUAUUUGUGUACAAGUGUGUACACAGUAAAAGAUUUCUUUUUCUUGUGGGUAAAUGCUCAGGAAUGAAUCAUAUAGUAGUUGUACACUUAAGUUUUUAAGGAAACAGCAAACUUUUCCAAAGUGGUUUUACAGUUUCACAUUCUCACCAGCAGUGUAUAGAGUUCCAGUUGCUCUCUAACCUAACAUGUGAUACGGUUAGACAUUCUGCUAGCUGUGUAGUGGCAUUAGCUUAUGUUUGCCUAUGGACACAUAUCUCGAACACUUUAAAAAGUACGCUUAUUUGCCAUCCGCAUAGUUUCUUUGGUGAAAUGACAGUUCACUUACGCAUCUGGCUGCAUGGCCUGAAAACACUAUCAAAGCAGGGGAUGGGGACCGCUGUGGGGCUUAUCUCUUUUGUUCCCAUCUUUUAGGAUCACUGAUGUCUGCUGUCCCAAAGACCAGUGUUCUGUGUAUUUUGUUUGUAUUUUCAAGGAGGAGGGGAAAUUUGGUCUCUGUGACGUCCAUCUUGGCCAAAGCACAAAUGAAUUUUAUUUUAUUUUUAUUUUUUGUAUUUUUGUCUUUUCAGGGCUGCACUCAAGGCAUAUGGAGGUUCCCAGGCUAGGGGUCUAAUUGGAACUGUAGCCGCUGGCCUACACCACAGCCAUGCCAGAUCCGAGCCGCGUCUGCGACCUACACCGUAGCUCACGGCAGUGCCGGAUCCUUAACCCACUGAGUGUGUGUGUGAACAUAGAUUUCUUUUUCUUGUGGGUAAAUGCUCAGGAGUGAAUCAUAUAGUAGUUGUACACUUAAGUACACUGAGUGAGGUCAGGGAUCGAACCUGCAACCUCAUGGUUCCUAGUCAGAUUCAUUUCCACUGUGCCACGAUGGGAACCCCUAUUUAUUUAUUCAUUUAUUUAUUUUUGCUUUUCAGGGCCACACCUGUGGCACCUGGAAGUUUCCAGGCUAGGGGUCUAAGCAGAACUGUAGCUGGCGGGCUACGCUGCAGCCACAGCAACACCAGAUCUGAUCCACAUCUGUAACCUACACCACAUACAGCUCCAACCUAACACUGCAUCCUUAACCCACUGAGUGAGGCCAAGGAUUGAAAUCUGUGUCCUCAUGGAUACAAGUUGGGUUUGUAAUCCUCUGAGCCACAGCAGGAACUCCCUGUGCUGUGGCUCAGUGGCUAAUUUGCUCCUUUGUUCUUUAUAUUUUCUGUAAACUGGUAGUUAAAUUUAGAGGAUUGAUCGUUUUCAAAUUAAAAUUAUUUUUGCAAGAAUAAUUCGUAGGAGAUAUUUUGCCCAUCCUGUUUAAAAUGAAAACCCUUGCUGCACUCCAGUUCCCUAACCUGCUAUAGUGCUUUUAUUUUCACAGGACCCGGCAGCAUAGUACAAGUGUUCAUGUUUAAUAUCUGAUCUAAAAUUUAAACUCCAUAAAGGCACAGUUCUUUGUUUUCUAUAUUGCUCUAUCUCCAGAAGUCUAGAUCAUUGUUCAGCACGUGGUUGGCACAAAGUAGAAAUCUUUUGAAUUAAUGAGUGAGUGAGAUACAAAGGUGCAGAAUUGGUAAGCUGUCAUUACCCUCAUUACCAUUCGUGGAAAAGUAACAUUUUCUUUUGUUAGAAUAAUUGUGCUUAAUAACAUUAUUAAAGACAUUGUAGGAGUUCCCAUCGUGGUGCAGCAGAGAGUCCGACAAGGAACCAUGAGGUUGUGGGUUCGAUCCCAGGGCUCGGAUCUGGCAUUGCUGUGGCUGAUGUGUAGGCCAGCAUCUGUAGCUCCGAUUCAAUCCUUAGCCUGGGAACCUCUCCACAUGCCUCUAGUGCGGCCCUUUUUAAAAAGCGGAAAAAAAAAAAAGAAAAAAAA